rnacentral:rRNA from 1 species
UACGGAGGGUGCAAGCGUUGUUCGGAAUCACUGGGCGUAAAGCGCGUGUAGGCGGUUCUCUAAGUCUGGUGUGAAAGCCCGGGGCUCACCCCCGGAAGUGCACUGGAGACUGGAGGGCUUGAGUACCGGAGAGGAGGGUGGAAUUCCUGGUGUAGCGGUGAAAUGCGUAGAUAUCAGGAGGAACACCGGUGGCGAAGGCGGCCCUCUGGACGGCUACUGACGCUGAGACGCGAAAGCGUGGGGAGCAAACAGG